UAGAAUGCGAUAUGCAAUGUGAAUUGCAGAACCAUGAAUCAUUGGAUCUUUGAACGCAACUUGCACUGGUAAAACCAGUAUACUUGUUUCAGUGUGCUUACACAACUUAUAAAAUAAUUAAAAUGUGAAAGAUAAUUCUUUCAUUAAAUACAUGCUCUUAGUAGCAGUCACAAUUAUUUGUGAACUACUAAAUAGAUUUAAUUUAUUAAUAUUUGCACCUGAAAUCAAGUAAGAUGACCCGCUGGACUUAA
rnacentral:misc_RNA from 1 species